AGGGGCUUUUUAGGUUU
rnacentral:tRNA from 24 species